GUUUUGUAAUUUCUGCUCUUUUAUGUAGAAAUUUUUGUGAUCAACAACAUCCUAAGGCGAUCACCAGGGCUUGAAAAAUGAAUAGACAGAAGUUAUCAAAAACAGUACAUUUAUGUGAUGUUCUUCUCUUCUCAAACCACUAUGUGUAGCAGUAUACUUUUCUAACUUGAGUCAUGAAUAUUCUUAUCAAAAUAAAGUCAUUCACAUUUGGAACAAAGGCUAAUUUGUACCAGUCAGUUUUGGAAAUUCAGAAAUAAUUUUUUACCAUC
rnacentral:lncRNA from 1 species